AAAUGUACUGCACAAAAACGCUCAAAGUUCUUUCUUUCAGUAGCUUGGUUUGGUUUGCAUGCCAUGCUGGAUUACAACAUUUCUCUUUCUACUGUCUUUGGCCAGACGUCAUAUUCUUCCUAUGUGCAGUUUUAUGAUGUACUAAAAUAUGGAAAUGGAAAUGUCUUGAUGAUAUUGUUGAUUUCACAUUGUUGGAGUGGUUGAUCUCUUGAUGUUAUGGUAUACAACUAUAAGUUUGUUUCUAUGCAAUACAUAGGGAAAAGUUUUG
rnacentral:misc_RNA from 1 species